AGAACCGGCACCCAUAUGGGAUCCUGGGCGUGCAAGGUGAGGACCUUAACCACCUUGCCACCCUGCCGGGCCCACUUCUUCCUGGUUGAACUCCCUGUAAG